GGUGGGGUGGUGUAGUGGUUUGAAAGUUGGACUGUGACUCUGGAGAUCAGGGUUUGAAUCCCCAUUCAGCCA